UACAGAGGUGCCGAGCGUUAGGCGGAAUCACUGGGCUUAAAGCGUGUGUAGGCGGAUGCCUAAGUACCUUGUGAAAUCCCAUGGCUUAACCAUGGAACUGCUCGGUAUACUGGGUGUCUUGAGCCACUUAGGGGCUACCGGAACAAAUGGUGGAGCGGUGAAAUGCGUAGAUAUCAUUUGGAACGCCAAUGGUGAAAACAGGUAGCUGGGGAUGUGCUGACGCUGAGACACGAAAGCCAGGGGAGCAAACGGG
rnacentral:rRNA from 1 species